GUGGGGAAUAUUGGACAAUGGGCGAAAGCCUGAUCCAGCCAUGCCGCGUGUGUGAAGAAGGUCUUCGGAUUGUAAAGCACUUUAAGUUGGGAGGAAGGGCAGUAAGUUAAUACCUUGCUGUUUUGACGUUACCAACAGAAUAAGCACCGGCUAACUUCGUGCCAGCAGCCGCGGUAAUACGAAGGGUGCAAGCGUUAAUCGGAAUUACUGGGCGUAAAGCGCGCGUAGGGGGUUCAGCAAGUUGAAGGUGAAAUCCCCGGGCUCAACCUGGGAACUGCCUCCAAAACUGCAUGACUAGAGUACGGUAGAGGGUAGUGGAAUUUCCUGUGUAGCGGUGAAAUGCGUAGAUAUAGGAAGGAACACCAGUGGCGAAGGCGACUACCUGGACUGAUACUGACACUGAGGUGCGAAAGCGUGGGGAGCAAACAGGAUUAGAAACCCUGGUAGUCC
rnacentral:rRNA from 1 species